GGUGAUUCUCACAGCAGGACCGAGC
rnacentral:piRNA from 2 species